AGUUUGAUCAUGGCUCAGGACGAACGCUGGCGGCGUGCCUAACACAUGCAAGUCGAGCGGAGGUAUAUACGAAGAAGUUUUCGGACGGAAUUGUAUAUACUUUAGCGGCGGACGGGUGAGUAACGCGUGAGCAACCUGCCUUUCACAGGGGGAUAAGGCGGCGAAAGCCGCUCUAAUACCGCAUGAGACCACAGUGGUGAUGCUACAGGGGUCAAAGGAGCAAUCCGGUGAAAGAUGGGCUCGCGUCCGAUUAGGUAGUUGGUGGGGUAAUGGCCCACCAAGCCCGUGAUCGGUAGCCGGCCUGAGAGGGUGAACGGCCACAUUGGAACUGAGACACGGUCCAAACUCCUACGGGAGGCAGCAGUGGGGAAUAUUGGGCAAUGGGGGGAACCCUGACCCAGCAACGCCGCGUGAGGGAAGAAGGUUUUCGGAUUGUAAACCUCUGUUCUUGGGGAAGAGUGAAAGACGGUACCCAAGGAGGAAGCCCCGGCUAACUACGUGCCAGCAGCCGCGGUAAUACGUAGGGGGCGAGCGUUGUCCGGAAUGAUUGGGCGUAAAGGGCGCGUAGGCGGCUUUGCAAGUCAGUAGUGGAAGUCCAUUUUUCAAGGAUGGAAGUGCUACAGAAACUGCGGAGCUUGAGUGCAGGAGAGGUUAUCGGAAUUCCCGGUGUAGCGGUGAAAUGCGUAGAGAUCGGGAGGAACACCAGUGGCGAAGGCGGGUAACUGGACUGCAACUGACGCUGAGGCGCGAAAGUGUGGGGAGCAAACAGGAUUAGAUACCCU
rnacentral:rRNA from 1 species